GAUAAAAUCUCUUGCAAGUGAUUAUGGAGAAGUUAAGUUAUCAUUUCUAAACAAGUAUUGAGAGGAAUUAUGAAUGGCGUGCCAUGGUAAUGCUUGGCAAUUGUAUCUGCUAUACAGGUUAUGUAUAACAGCUGAGAUAUAUCAAACACCACAUAAUAUUACUAUUGCUGCUUAUGUAGUAGUCUUGCACCAUUGCGUUAUGUGAUAACUCAAUUUCAAGGACUCACUAUCCCUUAUCCAAAUAAUAUUUGUAAUGUCAGUUGUGGAGCUACUAUUUUAAAUUAUUAAAAGAUUCAAGACAAAAAAUAAAAAAGUUAGGAAUAGCCUACAGCACCCCGGAUUCCCAUGUUGUCUCCAACCAUAGUACUAACGAGGCCCUCAGACGCUUAACUGCAGUGAUCGGACGGGAACUGGUGUUUUCGCCUAGGUAUGGCCGUAGACGUUUGUACCUAACGAUAAUUCUUUUUAAAAUUAAACAAA